CGCGAGGUUGAGAGAAGCGGGGCGGUGGGGGACGCCUGUGCGCACAAGAUGGGAAAAUAAACCGCGGUCUCUCCUUCCCCAUCCUUUGAGGGAACUAAAGGAAUUUCCAACCUUCCCCACCCCCAGGGACGGGCCAGAAGCAUUUUGAUUAAAUUUCACCAACAUUGUUGGAGCCUCUGCAGGUGGUUAUGCCCUCCCUCCCUGCCACAACCUGAUGCUGCCAUAGGAGCCACGCAUGUCACAGAGGCAGCAGCUGAGGUCACAUGUGGUAAGCCACGUGAGGGGCCAUCUAUG